GGUUGGAAUAUGAGCUUUUAUACGAUUCAUAUUCUUAUUUGGCAAAUGCACAGUUUAGCAUUACCUCUCUGGUGGCCUUUAUUAGAAAGGCAGUUUUAGAAGCUAUUUGUGAUCCACUAAGGAAAUGUUUUAUCAGCUAGAGACCACUGCUUGCCUGAAAGGGCAACCUUAAAUUUGGUGCAGCAAAAAACAAAAAAACAAAAAAAACAAAAACAAAAACAAAACAAACAAAACAAAAAAUAAAAACAAAAAAAUUUAAAAACACAAAAAGACAAAAAAGAAGAAAAAAGUAACAUUUGAUGGCCUGCAGUGUAUAGAGAAAACCUCAUCCCAGGAUCAUAAGUGUUAACCGUCCUAAGGAAGCGAGCUGUUCUGUCUAAUAGAGCUGUAGUGGAUGGAGCUGAGCCGUGCUGAUACCAAGCUCAGAGCUGCUGAGUAAGGCAGGGAGAGGUGGCCACGUUGUCUUUAUGAAUUGAGGGUGCAGCUUGCUGCUGCACAGAGUUGAAGUCUGGCCUCACUGCACAUCCUGGGGUGCAUGACAGAGUCCCUUCUUCUGAGAAGGGAAAACAUUGAUCACCCUAGCUGCAGUGGUGCCUGCACACCUUACUCUAUCCACACUAGUCAAUGAAGCUAAAACUAAUUUUGUUGUUGUUUCUCGUUUGGGGUUUUAUUGAAGGGGUGAGGGGCGGGAAGGGCUUCUUAGUUUUGUACAAAAACAAAGUUUACUCAUAUGCUUUCUCUUCUAUUGUGAUUGCAAGUGUUCCUGUUGUCGAUGCUCUAGGUAAUGGAGGCUUGUGAUGAGCGUUAUGGUGACUUGGGCAUGUCUUAUUCAGAAGCAAAACACAGACCACAGAAACCUUUCCUCAGCAUACCAAGGCAAGCAGCCAUCUCAUGAGUCACUCAGCACAUGAGUGUGCCGUUUACAGAUGAUGUCGCCCUUUUGUGUGUGAUACGGCAGUUCCCACCCACAGAGAAUUCCUAUUUGUAAAUUGGAGGUUUAUACUAUGCCUUACAGAGCUUAAAUUCAGAAGUCUGUGCCUCAUGUCUGAAACAAAGGGAAAACACACGCCCAUGCAGAAGUCAGUUAAGUCUUACAGAGCCUGUUGGGUUUUCCUUAUCGUUUCCUUAGGAAGAGCUCUGUUGAAUGUCCUGAGUAGCUGGGAAAUUCUUCUUAGGAGCCUGCGUAUAUUGUUUACUGGCAGGUGGCAUCCACGGCGAUAUUUAAAGAACACCUGGAACUUGGGGGCUUGGGGGCUUUGUUUUGUUUUGUUUUUGUUUAGAUUACAUUAGCAGGCCUAAUCAUUUUAAAGGGUAAUUCAGCCAAAGGGCAAUUUACUUUUUGUACUUCAGACUUCUAUUGAUUGUCAAGUUGUACGAAUUGUAAUUUAAAAAUUUAUACUGCCACAUGAUUGUAAAUUUUAGUUGUCUUAAGUAGGAAUUGGUGAAAAGCUGUUUAUGCUGGAUUUGGGUCAAAAUGACUUGAUUAUUUGCAAAAAAUAAAACUAAUAAUGGGAAGAAAGGGCUGCAUAACAAGACACCGCAAGACUCAGAUUCCCUCAGAUGACCCCAGCGCCCCUUUGUUCUCAGUUUCUCAAAAGAACGAAUGAAGUGAAACAUAGCAGAAUGUUAACCCAUAUAAAAUAAAGUGUACCCAAAUAUUGUAAUGUAUAUCGCUGCUCUUCUUAAAAUUACGUAAGGCUUUCAAGCCACUCACAUGGUAACUAACAGCAUCUCGAUUGAUACAACUAAGGUGUACUUGGACAUACUUUAAUAUUUGAUUCAAAAGAGAAACCUUUGGUUAGAAACACAUACAAAAGUGGAAGCUAAUAAUGUGUGUUUAUCUGUCUCCGCACUCUUCCAAUAUAGGCAGCAUUCCUAGAUGUCCUGGCACUUGUGUCUUUGAGAUCCCAUUGUGGUUCUCUCGACAGGAGAAACGAAUGCUUACUUCUGUGUGAUUAGGCCAACGUUUGGGAAGCCGGGCACCUGCCAUCCCACAGAUAACCUGCUGGACGUCCACACUCUGUUCUUCUCGCAGUUGUCCUGUUUGCCACCAUCCCCCCCGCUUCCGCCACCCUGCAGUAGCGUUCUUGCCUCUAGAGUCACCUGUCCAGAGUAUGCAUGCACACCUGAUGCACAGUAGGUGCUCAGAUACGUCCUCCCCACUCUCAUAUCUACUAUGGAGACACCCAUCACGCCAUACAGUUUAAACCCAAAGUUGAAUAACAUUUUCGUGUUACAAAACCAGACACGAGGUAAAAUUGGAUCUUACUUAGAUAAAGGAAUUCUGUCUUUCAUGGAAGCUCUGGCAGCCAGGAAGAGAACGCAGGGAAAUAGAUCAUUCAGCAAGCCGUUUGUAGGAUUAGAAAAGAAAGUGGAAAAAAAACACUAUGUAAGUUUGUAGAGGUCACUCUCAUUGAAACACGUUUCUGGCGGAUUUCCUCAAAGGAUUCUAACAGAAGCCUCUUGCCAGGCUCUGCAUCCACCCUCAUGUUGGAAGCCCUGACUAGAUCUGUGUACUUAGGGAGUUUUGUCAAAAACAUUUUUAACUUGCAGUAUUUAAAAAAAAAUCAUAUUUACUGUUCUUAAAAUGUCAUUCAAAUGCAUGUAUUGUCUAUUGUUUGGGGAUGGGAACUAGUUUUUC
rnacentral:lncRNA from 1 species